rnacentral:rRNA from 1 species
AGUGAACGCUGGCGGUAGGCCUAACACAUGCCAGUCGAACGGCAGCACAGUAAGAGCUUGCUCUUACGGGUGGCGAGUGGCGGACGGGUGAGGAAUACAUCGGAAUCUACUUUUUCGUGGGGGAUAACGUAGGGAAACUUACGCUAAUACCGCAUACGACCUACGGGUGAAAGCAGGGGAUCUUCGGACCUUGCGCGAUUGAAUGAGCCGAUGUCGGAUUAGCUAGUUGGCGGGGUAAAGGCCCACCAAGGCGACGAUCCGUAGCUGGUCUGCGAGGAUGAUCAGCCACACUGGAACUGAGACACGGUCCAGACUCCUAGGGGAGGCAGCAGUGGGGAAUAUUGGACAAUGGGCGCAAGCCUGAUCCAGCCAUACCGCGUGGGUGAAGAAGGCCUUCGGGUUGUAAAGCCCUUUUGUUGGGAAAGAAAAGCAGCAGGUUAAUACCCCGCUGUUCUGACGGUACCCAAAGAAUAAGCACCGGCUAACUUCGU